rnacentral:lncRNA from 1 species
UGGCGCCAUUGCUUGUUGGAUCAUCAGCAGCGCGUUCUUAUUCAUUUCUGAUAUCUGUGAGCUGAGUUCAAAGCCAUAUUUCUAUCUGAGUUCAAAGCAAAAAGCGGGUAGAGCUAGAUUUGGAAUAGGAACGCAGCAUUCUUUUAUUUCGUCUUGUGCCCUAGAGAGAUAUAUCUUUCUCUUUCGUCGCCAACUCAUUCCCUUUCCCUUAGCGCAAUCAGAAUUCAUUGAUUCUUUCGAGUGCUUUAACCUAUGCCUUUGUUCAACGUAGCUAAGAGGUAAAUAACUUGAACUACACUAGCAUUGCUUCACACAAGCACCCGACUCGGUGAACACUCGGAUUCUUUCUAA